AGGGGCGGCUGCUACCAUGCAAGUCGAACGGCAGCACAGCAGUAGCAAUACUGUGGGUGGCGAGUGGCGGACGGGUGAGGAAUACAUCGGAAUCUGCCUUAUCGUGGGGGAUAACGUAGGGAAACUUACGCUAAUACCGCAUACGACCUACGGGUGAAAGCGGAGGACCUUCGGGCUUCGCGCGAUAAGAUGAGCCGAUGUCGGAUUAGCUAGUUGGCGGGGUAAAGGCCCACCAAGGCGACGAUCCGUAGCUGGUCUGAGAGGAUGAUCAGCCACACUGGAACUGAGACACGGUCCAGACUCCUACGGGAGGCAGCAGUGGGGAAUAUUGGACAAUGGGCGCAAGCCUGAUCCAGCCAUGCCGCGUGGGUGAAGAAGGCCUUCGGGUUGUAAAGCCCUUUUGUCCGGAAAGAAAAGCUUCGGGCUAAUACCCCGGGGUCCUGACGGUACCGGAAGAAUAAGCACCGGCUAACUUCGUGCCAGCAGCCGCGGUAAUACGAAGGGUGCAAGCGUUACUCGGAAUUACUGGGCGUAAAGCGUGCGUAGGUGGUUUGUUAAGUCUGAUGUGAAAGCCCUGGGCUCAACCUGGGAAUUGCAUUGGAUACUGGCAGGCUAGAGUGCGGUAGAGGAUGGCGGAAUUCCCGGUGUAGCAGUGAAAUGCGUAGAGAUCGGGAGGAACAUCUGUGGCGAAGGCGGCCAUCUGGACCAGCACUGACACUGACGCACGAAAGCGUGGGGAGCAAACAGGAUUAGAUACCCUGCUAGUCCACGCCCUAAACGAUGCGAACUGGGAUGU
rnacentral:rRNA from 1 species